UCGAUAUUAGGGUUCAUCGUGUUUUCCAUCUGUUACUAGCUAAAACGAAAAUGAUGUCCAUUUGGGUACUCUCCAAAAACUUUCUUCUUGGCGACAGACGGUGGUGGGAAUUAGGGUUAGCCAUUGUUUUCUAUCUCCGCAAUGAGCAACAAUGGGAUCUAAUCGGGUCAGACGAAUCGUCCUCGAUAACCUUGGUAUCAAGCAGCGUCGUUUCAUAUUUGGUCCUUAACCCUUAGACGUUACGAGUUCUCUUCUUUCAUUGGCGUUAAGAUAUGUCUUAACUCCACCGACGCUAUCAAGCACGACGUCUCAUUCAAUGAUACUCAUCCAACUCCAAGGCAGUUUUCUUUAUCUAUAAAAAGAAAAUUAAAAUACGGUGGUGAGUUAAUGGGGUUGAUAUCGAAGUUUCAGUCAACCCUCAUGCCAGCCACCAUGAAUGUUCACCGGCUAGCCACGUUCAGGGACCGUCUCCAGCCUGGUUCGCUGUUCAAACUCAGCGGAUUUGACAUCAGUCAGUGUAACCAGAACUUCAGGCUUUCGUACUCACUUAUGACAAUACGGUUCAGUGAUUCAACCAAUAGAGAUGUGCUAACCGGAACAGAUUCUUCCAUUCCUGAAGAAAGUUUCAUGAUUGUUCCGAAAUUACGAUUCGCUUCUUGGCCAACACCAACAUCUGUUCCAGUGAGUGACAUUUCGUCAAAGAAAAGAGCAAGUUAUGGAGACUAUCAAGAUUGACAGUAAUAUCUCUGUCACUUUGAGUCUGUUCGACUCACAAGCUGUCUCUUUUCACAAGAAACUUGAAGGAUUCCGGGGAUAUCCAAGGGUUGCUGUUGCAAGUAGCACAAACCCAAAGAUGGUAUGAGGACUUUUGUUCUCGACUGCCACCUCGGGAUCACAUGUAUUUUUCGACAAGGCAACUGGGCUAUUCGAUUUUAAGAUGCAUACUGGUUUCCAAAGACAUUGGGAACACCCAUGUUCCUUCAUUGCUGAGAGGCUAUCAAAGUUCAAAAUGUACGACAUUGAAUUUGGUUGCACUGGAAUGGUGACUGAUAUCAAAAUGGAGAAAGGCUAGGCUGGUGUUACGUCUCUUGCUCUAGGUGCACAAAGAAGCUAACAUUGAACGGUCUUAUCCUUGCGUGACCUGCAGUAACACCAACACUGUUGGUGUGCUCAGGUACCGUGUGGAGAUGAGCCUUGCUGAUGACACUGCUGAGGGUCUCUUAGUCAGAUUCGAUGGCGAGAUGACAAAACUACAUAACAUGAGAGCCUAUGAGGCUGGUCAUCUAAUAGCUGGCGAGGGAGUAAACCCAGAAGACCAACCACCCUCUUUUAUUGCAGCCGUGGUUGGUAAGAGAUACAGCUUUCAAGUCAGGGUCAGCAGAUACAAUUUUACUGCAAGCCAUCAAACUUUCACCAACGAGAAUGACCGUAUGCAUGUCCCUGACUUUAUUGCCCAUAUGAUAUGCCUGGGGCCAUCUCUGUCGUUUCUAAGGUUGAUGGUGGUCGUAACGAGCGUGCUGAAACAUCCAUAGCAGUAGCAUCUCUAAGUGGUCGCCAUCAAGAAACCUUUGGCGUCAAAGUCUUCAAAGGUGGUCAAGAAGCCACAUAAGGAAUAGGUGAAGAUGAGGGUUGUGAUGCGGAUGGCGUACUCGCUAUUUCAAUAAUGAUUAUGUAUUAACGUUGGUUUUUCUUUUAAACUAUGUCCUCUUAUGGAGUUUGGUAUGUUUUCACAAAAUCGAAAACUAUAAU